UACGUAGGGGGCAAGCGUUGUUCGGAAUUACUGGGCGUGAAGGGCGCGUAGGCGGCACGGCAAGUCAGGAGUGAAAGCCCAGGGCUCAACCCUGGGAUGCCGGUGGAUACUGUCGGACUAGAGUACGGAAGAGGCGAGUGGAAUUCCCGGUGUAGCGGUGAAAUGCGCAGAUAUCAGGAGGAACACCGGUGGCGAAGGCGGCUUGCUGGGCCAGUUCUGACGCUGAGGAGCGAAAGCGUGGGGAGCGAACAGG
rnacentral:rRNA from 1 species